rnacentral:rRNA from 1 species
AAGCCCUGGGCUCAACCUAGGAAUUGCACUUAAAACUGGUUAACUAGAGUAUUGUAGAGGAAGGUAGAAUUCCACGUGUAGCGGUGAAAUGCGUAGAGAUGUGGAGGAAUACCGAUGGCGAAGGCGGCCUUCUGGACAGAUACUGACGCUGAGAUGCGAAAGCGUGGGGAGCAAACAGGAUUAGAUACCCUGGUAGUCCACGCUGUAAACGAUGUCGAUUUGGAGUUUGUUGCCCUGAGUGAUGGGCUCCGAAGCUAACGCGAUAAAUCGACCGCCUGGGGAGUACGGCCGCAAGGUUAAAACUCAAAUGAAUUGACGGGGGCCCGCACAAGCGGUGGAGCAUGUGGUUUAAUUCGAUGCAACGCGAAGAACCUUACCUGGUCUUGACAUCCACAGAAUCUUGCAGAGAUGCGAGAGUGCCUUCGGGAACUGUGAGACAGGUGCUGCAUGGCUGUCGUCAGCUCGUGUUGUGAAAUGUUGGGUUAAGUCCCGCAACGAGCGCAACCCUUAUCCUUUGUUGCCAUUGGUUCGGCCGGGAACUCAAAGGAGACUGCCGUUGAUAAAGCGGAGGAAGGUGGGGACGACGUCAAGUCAUCAUGGCCCUUACGACCAGGGCUACACACGUGCUACAAUGGCGUAUACAAAGGGAGGCGACCUCGCGAGAGCAAGCGGACCUCAUAAAGUACGUCUAAGUCCGGAUUGGAGUCUGCAACUCGACUCCAUGAAGUCGGAAUCGCUAGUAAUCGUGAAUCAGAAUGUCACGGUGAAUACGUUCCCGGGCCUUGUACACACCGCCCGUCACACCAUGGGAGUGGGUUGCACCAGAAGUAGAUAGCUUAACCGCGAGGGGGGCGUUUACCANCGGUGUGGUCCAUGACUGGGGUGAAGUCGUAAC